rnacentral:rRNA from 1 species
GAUGAACGCUGGCGGCGUGCCUAAUACAUGCAAGUCGAGCGAUCGGACGAGAAGCUUGCUUCUCUGAUGUUAGCGGCGGACGGGUGAGUAACACGUGGAUAACCUACCUAUAAGACUGGGAUAACUUCGGGAAACCGGAGCUAAUACCGGAUAAUAUUUUGAACCGCAUGGUUCAAAAGUGAAAGACGGUCUUGCUGUCACUUAUAGAUGGAUCCGCGCUGCAUUAGCUAGUUGGUAAGGUAACGGCUUACCAAGGCAACGAUGCAUAGCCGACCUGAGAGGGUGAUCGGCCACACUGGAACUGAGACACGGUCCAGACUCCUACGGGAGGCAGCAGUAGGGAAUCUUCCGCAAUGGGCGAAAGCCUGACGGAGCAACGCCGCGUGAGUGAUGAAGGUCUUCGGAUCGUAAAACUCUGUUAUUAGGGAAGAACAUAUGUGUAAGUAACUGUGCACAUCUUGACGGUACCUAAUCAGAAAGCCACGGCUAACUACGUG